UACAGGGGGGGCAAGCGUUGUUCGGAAUUACUGGGCGUAAAGGGCGCGUAGGCGGCCUGCUAAGUCGAACGUGAAAUCCCCAAGCUUAACUUGGGAACUGCAUCCGAUACUGGAUGGCUUGAAUCCGGGAGAGGGAUGCAGAAUUCCAGGUGUAGCGGUGAAAUGCGUAGAUAUCUGGAGGAACACCGGUGGCGAAGGCGGCAUCCUGGACCAACACUGACACUGAGGAGCGAAAGCCAGGGGAGCAAACGGG
rnacentral:rRNA from 1 species